AAGCCUGCAUGGAGCUGCUAUUGGUACAGAUCUUGGUGGUAGUAGCAAAUAAUCGAAUGAGACCUUGGAGGACUGAAGUGGAGAAGGGUUUCGUGUGAACAGUGGUUGAUCACGAGUUAGUCGGUCCUAAGUUCAAGGCGAAAGCCGAAAAUUUUCAAGUAAAAAUAAAAUUUACUAUAUGUAAAAAUUAUAUACUUGAAUAAUUUUGAACGAAAGGGAAUACGGUUCCAAUUCCGUAACCUGUUGAGUAUCCGUUUGUUAUUAAAUAUGGGCCUCGUGCUCAUCCUGGCAACAGGAACGACCAUAAAGAAGCCGUCGAGAGAUAUCGGAAGAGUUUUCUUUUCUGUUUUAUAGUCGUACUACCAUGGAAGUCUUUCGCAGAGAGAUAUGGUAGAUGGGCUAGAAGAGCAUGACAUAUACUGUUGUGUCGAUAUUUUCUCCUCGGACCUUGAAAAUUUAUGGUGGGGAUACGCAAACUUCUCAACAGGCCGUACCAAUAUCCGCAGCUGGUCUCCAAGGUGAAGAGUCUCUAGUCGAUAGAAUAAUGUAGGUAAGGGAAGUCGGCAAAUUAGAUCCGUAACUUCGGGAUAAGGAUUGGCUCUGAAGAUUGAGAUAGUCGGGCUUGAUUGGGAAACAAUAAUAUGGUUUAUGUGCUCGUUCUGGGUAAAUAGAGUUUCGAUCAUUUAUGGUUGUAACUUGUUCCCCGGAUAGUUAGUUACGUAUCCAAUUGUGGAACUUUCUUGCUAAAAUUUUUAAGAAUACUAGUUGGGUCAAACCAAUUAGUUCUUAUUAAUUAUAACGAUUAUCAAUUAACAAUCAAUUCAGAACUGGCACGGACUUGGGGAAUCCGACUGUCUAAUUAAAACAAAGCAUUGUGAUGGCCCUAGCGGGUGUUGACACAAUGUGAUUUCUGCCCAGUGCUCUGAAUGUCAAAGUGAAGAAAUUCAAGUAAGCGCGGGUCAACGGCGGGAGUAACUAUGACUCUCUUAAGGUAGCCAAAUGCCUCGUCAUCUAAUUAGUGACGCGCAUGAAUGGAUUAACGAGAUUCCUACUGUCCCUAUCUACUAUCUAGCGAAACCACAGCCAAGGGAACGGGCUUGGAAUAAUUAGCGGGGAAAGAAGACCCUUUUGAGCUUGACUCUAAUCUGGCAGUGUAAGGAGACAUAAGAGGUGUAGAAUAAGUGGGAGAUAUUAGACUUCGGUUUGGUAUCGCCAAUGAAAUACCACUACUCUUAUUGUUUCCUUACUUACUUGAUUAAAUGGAACGUGUAUCAUUUCCUAGCCAUUAUACGGAUAUAUUUAUUAUAUCUUAUGGUAUUGGGUUUUGAUGCAAGCUUCUUGAUCAAAGUAUCACGAGUUUGUUAUAUAAUCGCAAACAAAUUCUUUAAUGAGAGAUGCAUUUACUGUAUUAUUGAUUUGAAAAUUUGGUAUAACUCCAAUUACUCAGGUAUGAUCCAAUUCAAGGACAUUGCCAGGUAGGGAGUUUGACUGGGGCGGUACAUCUCUCAAAUAAUAACGGAGGUGUCCCAAGGCCAGCUCAGUGCGGACAGAAACCACACAUAGAGCAAAAGGGCAAAUGCUGACUUGAUCUCGGUGUUCAGUACACACAGGGACAGCAAAAGCUCGGCCUAUCGAUCCUUUUGGUUUAAAGAGUUUUUAACAAGAGGUGUCAGAAAAGUUACCAUAGGGAUAACUGGCUUGUGGCGGCCAAGCGUUCAUAGCGACGUCGCUUUUUGAUCCUUCGAUGUCGGCUCUUCCUAUCAUUGUGAAGCAAAAUUCACCAAGCGUUGGAUUGUUCACCCAUGCAAGGGAACGUGAGCUGGGUUUAGACCGUCGUGAGACAGGUUAGUUUUACCCUACUAAUGACAAAACGUUGUUGCGACAGCAUUCCUGCGUAGUACGAGAGGAACCGCAGGUACGGACCAAUGGCACAAUACUUGUUCGAGCGAACAGUGGUAUGACGCUACGUCCGUUGGAUUAUGCCUGAACGCCUCUAAGGUCGUAUCCGUGCUGGACUGCAAUGAUAAAUAAGGGGCAAUUUGCAUUGUAUGGCUUCUAAACCAUUUAAAGUUUAUUAUUUAUAUUUUAAACGACAAUGGAUGUGAUGCCAAUGUAAUUUGU
rnacentral:rRNA from 1 species